rnacentral:lncRNA from 1 species
UAGAAAUAAAGACAGACCCUUACUCUACAAGUGACUUCCUAUAAAGAGGUGGAGGUUUGAUGGAGGAAUGAGAUAGAAAUGAGCUUCAAGCAAAUUCAACCAAGCCUUGUGCAGAGCUGAGAUGUGUUGUCCCCUCACCCCCACUCCAACUUUCAAAUCCUAUGUCAGUGACUUAACCCAAGAGCUGGACUUCCUCUCCUGUAAAACUAUUCUAAACUCGGGGACUAUACAGAAAGAGCAGCAAGGAAAAAUAAACUCUGUUGAAAAUAUUUUGAUAUAUAUCACACUGACGUCUCAAGCAAAAUUGACCCCUUCCCUGAACUCACAUGCUGAAAAAUCAGCAAGCUUAAAAGGAACAAAGUAUGGAUGUAAGAACUCUUCUGCAAGAGCUGCUGUGACUAUGCAUAGGAGCUCCAAACCCAGAGACCCUUAA